rnacentral:rRNA from 1 species
UACGUAGGGUGCGAGCGUUGUCCGGAAUUAUUGGGCGUAAAGAGCUCGUAGGCGGUUUGUCGCGUCUAUCGUGAAAACUGGAGGCUUAACUUUCAGCGUGCGGUGGAUACGGGCAGACUUGAGUUCGGUAGGGGAGACUGGAAUUCCUGGUGUAGCGGUGAAAUGCGCAGAUAUCAGGAAGAACACCCGUGGCUAAGGCGGCUCUCUAGUACGGUACUGACGCUGAGACGCGAAAGCGUGGGGAGCGAACAGG